rnacentral:rRNA from 1 species
GUGCAAGAGGCGAACCAGGGGAACUGAAACAUCUAAGUACCCUGAGGAAAAGAAAUCAACCGAGAUUCCCUUAGUAGUGGCGAGCGAACGGGGAUUAGCCCUUAAGCUUCAUUGAUUUUAGCGGAACGCUCUGGAAAGUGCGGCCAUAGUGGGUGAUAGCCCCGUACGCGAAAGGAUCUUUGAAGUGAAAUCGAGUAGGACGGAGCACGAGAAACUUUGUCUGAACAUGGGGGGACCAUCCUCCAAGGCUAAAUACUACUGACUGACCGAUAGUGAACCAGUACCGUGAGGGAAAGGCGAAAAGAACCCCGGAGAGGGGAGUGAAAUAGAACCUGAAACCGUAUGCGUACAAGCAGUGGGAGCCUACUUGUUAGGUGACUGCGUACCUUUUGUAUAAUGGGUCAGCGACUUAUAUUCAGUGGCAAGCUUAACCGUAUAGGGUAGGCGUAGCGAAAGCGAGUCUUAAUAGGGCGUUUAGUCGCUGGGUAUAGACCCGAAACCGGGCGAUCUAUCCAUGAGCAGGUUGAAGGUUAGGUAACACUGACUGGAGGACCGAACCCACUCCCGUUGAAAAGGUAGGGGAUGACUUGUGGAUCGGAGUGAAAGGCUAAUCAAGCUCGGAGAUAGCUGGUUCUCCUCGAAAGCUAUUUAGGUAGCGCCUCAUGUAUCACUCUGGGGGGUAGAGCACUGUUUCGGCUAGGGGGUCAUCCCGACUUACCAAACCGAUGCAAACUCCGAAUACCCAGAAGUGCCGAGCAUGGGAGACACACGGCGGGUGCUAACGUCCGUCGUGAAAAGGGAAACAACCCAGACCGCCAGCUAAGGUCCCAAAGUUGUGGUUAAGUGGUAAACGAUGUGGGAAGGCUUAGACAGCUAGGAGGUUGGCUUAGAAGCAGCCAUCCUUUAAAGAAAGCGUAAUAGCUCACUAGUCGAGUCGGCCUGCGCGGAAGAUGUAACGGGGCUCAAACCACACACCGAAGCUGCGGGUGUCACGCAAGUGACGCGGUAGAGGAGCGUUCUGUAAGCCUGUGAAGGUGAGUUGAGAAGCUUGCUGGAGGUAUCAGAAGUGCGAAUGCUGACAUGAGUAACGACAAUGGGUGUGAAAAACACCCACGCCGAAAGACCAAGGGUUCCUGCGCAACGUUAAUCGACGCAGGGUUAGUCGGUUCCUAAGGCGAGGCUGAAAAGCGUAGUCGAUGGGAAACAGGUUAAUAUUCCUGUACUUCUGGUUACUGCGAUGGAGGGACGGAGAAGGCUAGGCCAGCUUGGCGUUGGUUGUCCAAGUUUAAGGUGGUAGGCUGAAAUCUUAGGUAAAUCCGGGGUUUCAAGGCCGAGAGCUGAUGACGAGUCGUCUUUUAGAUGACGAAGUGGUUGAUGCCAUGCUUCCAAGAAAAGCUUCUAAGCUUCAGGUAACCAGGAACCGUACCCCAAACCGACACAGGUGGUCGGGUAGAGAAUACCAAGGCGCUUGAGAGAACUCGGGUGAAGGAACUAGGCAAAAUGGCACCGUAACUUCGGGAGAAGGUGCGCCGGCUAGGGUGAAGGAUUUACUCCGUAAGCUCUGGCUGGUCGAAGAUACCAGGCCGCUGCGACUGUUUAUUAAAAACACAGCACUCUGCAAACACGAAAGUGGACGUAUAGGGUGUGACGCCUGCCCGGUGCCGGAAGGUUAAUUGAUGGGGUUAGCGCAAGCGAAGCUCUUGAUCGAAGCCCCGGUAAACGGCGGCCGUAACUAUAACGGUCCUAAGGUAGCGAAAUUCCUUGUCGGGUAAGUUCCGACCUGCACGAAUGGCGUAACGAUGGCGGCGCUGUCUCCACCCGAGACUCAGUGAAAUUGAAAUCGCUGUGAAGAUGCAGUGUAUCCGCGGCUAGACGGAAAGACCCCGUGAACCUUUACUGUAGCUUUGCACUGGACUUUGAGCCUGCUUGUGUAGGAUAGGUGGGAGGCUUUGAAGCGUGGACGCCAGUUCGCGUGGAGCCAUCCUUGAAAUACCACCCUGGCAUG